CUAAAACGCCGUUCCACCCUUUUCCUUCCCCGACCCCGUGCACACUCUCUUCUUCCUCUGUUCUCUCUCUCACGGACGGGCGGCACCGAAGAGAUUAGGGUUUCCAGCUCCAGCGAUUUCCUCUACCGGCAUCGGUGGUCGUUGAGCUUAUAUCCGGGCGGUGCUAUUCCCCUCUGGAUCACAGACACGGCGUUGCGUCUCCUAGCCGAUUGUCGACUUUUCCUUCCCGAUCUGACGCCGCUGGAUCAAUCCAAAUUCAUCGAUCACCGACGUGAAUAUGCAGUUAGGGCUCUGAGGAUCACCGACGCCCAAUUUCAACGAUUCACCUGAGACGAUCGAGAUAGGUCAUUUUCCUUGGACACCCUUACUCCUCUGUCGGUGCUAGAUCUUGGCAGACGCUGGCUAGUUGAGGGUCAGUACCUUCUCUGGUACGCUGCUUCGUGGUUGGAUCGGAUUGGGCGACUUCUUUUGGAGACAACCGAUUAAAGUGAAGUUAGGUUCUGUGAUUCGUAAGGUGAAUCCAUCAGUGAGGAUCUGUUGAGGGUGAUCUUUCCAGUAGUGUUUCCCUGUCGACAGCACUUCAACCAGCAUCAAUAGUGGUUGUUAAUUGAGGAUUUUGUCUGGUCAGAUCACUAUGUUUUCCAGCAGAUUACCUGGUAUUCCAGUGGUUGAAUUGAGGAUUCUGAUUCGAGACAGGCGUCUCGACGUUGACUUCGGAUUUGGGAUUGUACCUUCUAUU